AUGCGAAAGCAGUUGAAGACAAACAGAAAGAAGUCUGGAAACAGAAGUCGAGUAGGUUUGUACAGUUCGUAAGAACAUAUUAUGGCCUCGUCAAGCGGUGGAGAGAGCCACUGAGGGAUCGUCAGAUGUACUCAGUCUCUAUACAGCGCAAGACAUGGGUGAUGAAUCUGCUUUUGUUUUGUGAAGUUAUUGUUGAGGGAACUUUCCCUCUUUCAGUAGCGGAUCGAAUCACACGAUUCUAGCCUGAACAGUCUCGUCCUGGACAUCUAGCGAUUCCAUGGGCGAGCAGCGGAGGAUUUGGUGGAUUACUAGCCAAUGGCAAUCCAAACCAAAGAAUCUGAUUCGGGGGAAUGCCUCAUUGGAUAGCCGGUGCCUUUUUUGGGGGUACUGUGAUUCUCUGAGUGUAACCUCCUCUUUGGUUGCUGAUAUUAAACCUGUGCUGUGAAACAUCGGGACAGUGUUUAGUGGAAAGCAACUAGAGGAAUUCAAAGAGUGCUAUGGUAAGGGGACGGUUGCAGGGAGAGUGUAAAAGCUCGAACAGUGAUUUAGUCCAACACAGUCGUGGGAAAGAGAAAAAGAUUUUAUAUCCUUUUUUCGCUUCUGCUUCUGUAUUAUCUAUCAGUCUAUCAUCGAAGAACUCCUGGGUGUGCUUAGGUGCGCUUAAGAGUUAUUCUUUUAAGAUAGU
rnacentral:misc_RNA from 1 species